UUAUGACAAUACACUUUCAGGGGAGUUAUGUCCACACAACACCCCUCUUGAGUAAUAUAUCUUGUUUUCCCCACCCAUAAAGUUCUGGGUAUACGCCCAGUGAUUUGAUGGGGGAAAAAAAGCUACUUGGGAAGAUUGGAAUUCGCAGAAGAGGCAUUUUUAUAGGCAUUGUACUGGCUUAAGUUAGAAGAGGCAAGAAUCAGCAGAAGAAAGGUUUCGUUACAAAACUAGACUCAGUCCUUACGCGCGAGCGUAGGCUUGUCCGGUGACUUCAAGUAGCCGAUCCGAUUCCCUAUAGAGGUAACGCAAGCCCUUCUCCCUUUACACCAAAGAAGAAAUCAGAAACCUGGUAUUUAUUAAUUCAGAGCGUCUUCUCAGAGCGUACGCGCGCUUCUUCUGCCGCAAAUCCUCCGCUUGAGGUGAAUGGAUUCGCUGCUUAAUAUGCGCCGUUUGCUGUGAUAAGCCCUGCAGUCGACCUUACGGGAGUUUGGGGGAAAUGCACUCGAUCCUUAACAGGACGAAGCACGACCUCAUUGUUUCAGCGGCGACACGGCCACCAGAACGGCGUUAAUUAUGAAUAGAGAGAUAAGACAGCAAUAUUGGGAGCUGUCUGAUAACCUAGAGAGCUCGAGACUACUUGUUCACCGUUACCUUCAAGUGCUGACAGCCUGGUACAAGCUGAGGAAAUGAUUCACACUUCAUGGAGAGACAGAGAACAAGCUUCUUGUUCCACGAUUACAUACAUACACUGGAAGAACGAACACCGCCUGAAACUA